CGGUAUCAGCUCCUCGAGUGGUCGGGACGAUUAUUGGGCCUAAAGCACCCGUAGCCGGUUCCGUAAGUCCUCUGUUAAAUCCAGCCGCUCAACGGCUGGCCUGCAGAGGAUACUGCGGGACUAGGAGGCGGGAGAGGCGGACGGUACUCCGCGUGUAGGGGUAAAAUCCUUUGAUCCGCGGAAGACCACCAGUGGCGAAGGCGGCCCCCUGGGCGAAGACUGACGCUCAGGUGCGAAAGCGUGGGGAGCAAACAGGAUUAGAUACCCUGGUAGUCCACGCCGUAAACGAUGUCGACUUGGAGGUUGUGCCCUUGAGGCGUGGCUUCCGGAGCUAACGCGUUAAGUCGACCGCCUGGGGAGUACGGCCGCAAGGUUAAAACUCAAAUGAAUUGACGGGGGCCCGCACAAG
rnacentral:rRNA from 1 species